AAAUUGAAGAGUUUGAUCAUGGCUCAGAUUGAACGCUGGCGGCAGGCCUAACACAUGCAAGUCGAACGGUAACAGGAAGCAGCUUGCUGCUUCGCUGACGAGUGGCGGACGGGUGAGUAAUGUCUGGGAAACUGCCUGAUGGAGGGGGAUAACUACUGGAAACGGUGGCUAAUACCGCAUAACGUCGCAAGACCAAAGAGGGGGACCUUCGGGCCUCUUGCCAUCAGAUGUGCCCAGAUGGGAUUAGCUUGUUGGUGAGGUAACGGCUCACCAAGGCGACGAUCCCUAGCUGGUCUGAGAGGAUGACCAGCCACACUGGAACUGAGACACGGUCCAGACUCCUACGGGAGGCAGCAGUGGGGAAUAUUGCACAAUGGGCGCAAGCCUGAUGCAGCCAUGCCGCGUGUAUGAAGAAGGCCUUCGGGUUGUAAAGUACUUUCAGCGGGGAGGAAGGUGUUGUGGUUAAUAACCGCAGCAAUUGACGUUACCCGCAGAAGAAGCACCGGCUAACUCCGUGCCAGCAGCCGCGGUAAUACGGAGGGUGCAAGCGUUAAUCGGAAUUACUGGGCGUAAAGCGCACGCAGGCGGUCUGUCAAGUCGGAUGUGAAAUCCCCGGGCUCAACCUGGGAACUGCAUUCGAAACUGGCAGGCUUGAGUCUUGUAGAGGGGGGUAGAAUUCCAGGUGUAGCGGUGAAAUGCGUAGAGAUCUGGAGGAAUACCGGUGGCGAAGGCGGCCCCCUGGACAAAGACUGACGCUCAGGUGCGAAAGCGUGGGGAGCAAACAGGAUUAGAUACCCUGGUAGUCCACGCCGUAAACGAUGUCUACUUGGAGGUUGUGCCCUUGAGGCGUGGCUUCCGGAGCUAACGCGUUAAGUAGACCGCCUGGGGAGUACGGCCGCAAGGUUAAAACUCAAAUGAAUUGACGGGGGCCCGCACAAGCGGUGGAGCAUGUGGUUUAAUUCGAUGCAACGCGAAGAACCUUACCUGGUCUUGACAUCCACAGAACUUUCCAGAGAUGGAUUGGUGCCUUCGGGAACUGUGAGACAGGUGCUGCAUGGCUGUCGUCAGCUCGUGUUGUGAAAUGUUGGGUUAAGUCCCGCAACGAGCGCAACCCUUAUCCUUUGUUGCCAGCGGUUAGGCCGGGAACUCAAAGGAGACUGCCAGU
rnacentral:rRNA from 1 species